GAUGAACGCUGGCGGCGUGCCUAAUACAUGCAAGUCGAACGAAGCGGGGACGGUUGAGUAACACGUGGAUACCCUCCUUUACCUCUGGAAUAACUUCGGGAAACCGGUGCUAAACCGGCUACUCAUUGUUGGAUCAGCGCUGCAUGAGCUAGUUGGUAAGGUAACGGUUUACAAAGGCAACGAUGCAUAGCCGACCUGAGAGGGGGAUCGGCCACACGGGAACUGAGACACGGUCCAGACGCCUACGGGAGGCAGCAGUAGGGAAUCUUCCGCAAUGGGCGAAAGUCUGACCGAGCAACGCCGCGUGAGUGAUGAAGGUUUUCGGAUCGGAAAACUCUGUUGUUAGAGAAGCGGUAUCUAACCAGAAAGCCACGGCUAACUACGUGCCAGCAGCCGCGGUAAUAC
rnacentral:rRNA from 1 species